AGAAUGAGCAAAAGUCCAUGAGCCUUGCCAGAAAGUCUACCUAUAUUGGUUGCAGGCCACACCCCCAAGGAAACUCCCUUUCAACUGAUUGGGGACUCACAGCAGAUCCCAUCAUUGAGAUGAUUACAUUACAUCAGAUCUUAUCAUGGAAGUGAUUACAUCAUUAUACGACUGCCAAACCACUGAAAGUCACGGCCCAAUCAAUUUGAAACACAACCAUAAUGAUCACACCCUGCUUUCAAGUCUUUUGGGUAGGUAUAUACCUAACAGUGCAACGGCGGAGUCAUAUGGUAAUUCUGUUUAACUUUAUGAGGAACCACCAAACUUUUCCACAGCAACUACACCAUUUUACAUUCCCACCAACAAUUGAUUAGGGUUCCAAUUUUUCCAUAUCCUUGCCAAUACUUCUUAUCUUCCAUUUUUCUGGUAAUAGUUAUCCUAGUGAGAGUGAAGUGGUAUUGUGGUUUUGAUUUGCGUUUCCCUAAUGAUUAAUGACGUGUCAAGCAUCUUUUUUUCCCUUAAGUUAAAUUAUUUUUUUGUUUAUUGUACUUUAGGUGAAGAUUUACAGAGCAAACUAGUUUCUCAUUUAACAUUUAAUACACAUACUGUUCUGUGACAUUGGUUGCCAACCCCACGACAUGUCAACACUCUCCCCUUCUCAGUCUUGGGUUCCCCAUUACCAGCUUUCCUGUCCCCUGCUGCCUUCUUGUCCUUGCCCCUGGAGUGGUGUGCCCUGUUAAGUCUCCUUUUGUUUUAUGGGCUUGUUUAAUCUUUGGCUGAUGGGUGAACCUCAGGAAUGAUGACUUCAUUACUGAGCUAAAAGUGUGUCUGCGGCCAUACUCUAGGGGUUUCUCCAGUCUCUGUCAGACCAAUAAGUCUGGUCUUUUUUUGUGAGUUAGAAUUUUGUUCUGCAUUUCUCUCCAACUCUGUCUGGAACCCUCUGUUGUGAUCCCUGUCAGAGCAGUUGGUGAUGGUAGCCGGGCACCAUCUAGUUGUGCUGGACUCAGUCUGGUGGAGGCUGUGGUAGUUGUGUUCCAUUAGUUCUUUGAGUUAAUCUUUCCCUUGUGUCUUUGGUUUCCUUUAUUCUCCCUUGUGUUGAGCAUCUUUUUAUGUGCUUAUUGACUGUUUGUAUGUUCUUUAGAGAAAUGUCUGUUCAAAUCCUUUGCCCAUUUUUAAAUUUGGUGGUUUGUUUUUUCUUGUUAAGUUGUAGGGUUUUUUUUUUUUUUUUUUAAUAUUCUGGGUACUAAACCCUUAUCAGAUACAUGGUUCCUAAAUAUUUUCUCGGAUUCUGUAGGUUUUCUUAACUUCCUUGAUAAAAUCCUUUGGAAGUUUUUACAUUUGGAGAACUGGAUUUAUCUGUUUUAUCUUUUGUUACUAAUGCUUUUGGUGUUAUAUCUUAGAAUCCACUGUCGGAAACUGGAUCCCAAAGCGUGUUUUAUUCUUAGCAUUUUAAGCUUUUAGUUCUGACAUUUAGAUCAUUGAUCUAUUUUGAGUUAAUUUUCAUACAUGGUGUGAGGUAUGGGUCCAAUGUCAUUCUUUUGCAUUCUUUUGCUCAGCACCAUUUAUUAAAAACUAUUCCCCAAUUGAAUGCAAUUGGCACCUUGUAAAAAAAUCAGUUGACCAUAGAAAAUGAAUUUAUUUCUGGACUCCCAAUUCUAUUUAAUUUCUUUAUAUCUUUGUCAUUAUAAAAAAAAAAAUAAAAAAAGUUGUCAUUAUACCAGCACCAAAUUGUUUUGAUUACUGUAGCUUUAUACCAGUUUUUGAAAUAGAGAAGUUUGAGUCCUCUUUGUUUUUAUUUUUCAGGGUUGCUUUGGCUAUUCGGAGCCCCUUGCAGUUUCAUAUGAAUUCAAGGAUUGAGUUUCCCAUUUCUGCCAAGAAACUGUUGGAAUUUGUGACUUGUGGAAUUAAAGAGAGAGAUGCCUGAAAACUAGAGACAGAGAAGUAUAUUUUUCAGAAAGGGGAAGAAGGAAGACUAUAGAGCUUGAUAUGGUCCUCAGGCGAAUAGAGACCAAUUGUUGUGCCUUGGAUGACCACUUGGAAGCUUUUAAGAACCCAGGCACUAUGCAAGGAACCAGGAGGUAGAAAAGAAGCACUAAACAUGUUAUUAGGCCAAGUAAUGGGGAUGUCGUGUGAAACUGCGACUCAUGAUGACCCAAUAUAUGCAGAGUAAAACUGUUCUCCACAGAGUUUUCAAGACUGUGGCCUUUCUGAAGCAGAUCACCAGGCCUAUCUUUCAAGGUACCUCUGAGUGGGUUUGAACUGCCAGUCUUUCAGUUAGCAGUCAAGCACUUAAUCGUUUGCACCACCCAGGGACUCCUGAGACAUCGUACCCACUGUUUUUAAUGACCUCAGGAGAUGGUGAAUUUUAUCUCUCUGGGUAAUCUCUCUGGCAUUAACCAGAAUUUUUUUUUUUCUUUA